rnacentral:rRNA from 1 species
GGGGAAUAUUGGGCAAUGGGGGAAACCCUGACCCAGCAACGCCGCGUGAAGGAAGAAGGCCUUCGGGUUGUAAACUUCUUUUACCAGGGACGAAGGACGUGACGGUACCUGGAGAAAAAGCAACGGCUAACUACGUGCCAGCAGCCGCGGUAAUACGUAGGUUGCAAGCGUUGUCCGGAUUUACUGGGUGUAAAGGGCGUGUAGGCGGAGAUGCAAGUUGGGAGUGAAAUCCAUGGGCUCAACCCAUGAACUGCUCUCAAAACUGUAUCCCUUGAGUAUCGGAGAGGCAAGCGGAAUUCCUAGUGUAGCGGUGAAAUGCGUAGAUAUUAGGAGGAACACCAGUGGCGAAGGCGGCUUGCUGGACGACAACUGACGCUGAGGCGCGAAAGCGUGGGGAGCAAACAGGAUUAGAUACCCUGGUAGUCCACGCUGUAAACGAUGAAUACUAGGUGUGGGAGGACUGACCCCUUCCGUGCCGCAGUUAACACAAUAAGUAUUCCACCUGGGGAGUACGACCGCAAGGUUGAAACUCAAAGGAAUUGACGGGGGCCCGCACAAGCAGUGGAUUAUGUGGUUUAAUUCGACGCAACGCGAAGAACCUUACCAGGAUUUGACAUCCAACUAACGAAGUAGAGAUACAUUAGGUACCCUUCGGGGGAAGUUGAGACAGGUGGUGCAUGGUUGUCGUCAGCUCGUGUCGUGAGAUGUUGGGUUAAGUCCCGCAACGAGCGCAACCCCUAUUGUUAGUUGCUACGAAAGAGCACUCUAGCGAGACUGCCGUUGACAAAACGGAGGAAGGCGGGGACGACGUCAAAUCAUCAUGCCCCUUAUGUCCUGGGCUACACACGUAAUACAAUGGCGGUCAACAGAGGGAAGCAAAGCCGCGAGGUGGAGCAAAUCCCUAAAAGCCGUCUCAGUUCGGAUUGCAGGCUGCAACUCGCCUGCAUGAAGCUGGAAUUGCUAGUAAUCGCGGAUCAGCAUGCCGCGGUGAAUACGUUCCCG